rnacentral:rRNA from 1 species
UACGUAGGGGGCAAGCGUUGUCCGGAAUCAUUGGGCGUAAAGAGCGUGUAGGCGGCUCGAUAAGUCUGCUGUGAAAGUCCAGGGCUCAACCCUGGAAGGCCGGUGGAAACUGUCGGGCUAGAGUCCGGAAGAGGCGAGUGGAAUUCCCGGUGUAGCGGUGAAAUGCGCAGAUAUCGGGAGGAACACCAGUAGCGAAGGCGGCACUCUGGGCCGGAACUGACGCUGAGGAGCGAAAAGCGUGGGGAGCGAACAGG